GAUGAACGCUGGCGGCGUGCCUAAUACAUGCAAGUCGAGCGAACCACUUCGGUGGUGAGCGGCGAACGGGUGAGUAACACGUAGGUGAUCUGCCCAUCAGACGGGGACAACGAUUGGAAACGAUCGCUAAUACCGGAUAGGACGAAAGUUUAAAGGUGCUUCUGGCACCGCUGAUGGAUGAGCCCGCGGCGCAUUAGCUAGUUGGUAGGGUAAAGGCCUACCAAGGCGACGAUGCGUAGCCGACCUGAGAGGGUGAACGGCCACACUGGGACUGAGAUACGGCCCAGACUCCUACGGGAGGCAGCAGUGGGGAAUAUUGCACAAUGGGCGCAAGCCUGAUGCAGCGACGCCGCGUGAGGGAUGACGGCCUCGGUU
rnacentral:rRNA from 1 species